CUGAGAGGUUGAACGGCCACAUUGGGACUGAGACACGGCCCAGACUCCUACGGGAGGCAGCAGUGGGGAAUAUUGCACAAUAGGGGAAACCCUGAUGCAGCGACGCCGCGUGGAGGAAGAAGGUCUUCGGAUUGUAAACUCUAUGUUGUUGAGGAAGAUAAUGACGGUACUCAACAAGGAAGUGACGGCUAACUACGUGCCAGCA
rnacentral:rRNA from 1 species